ACGCACUGGCCGUGCGUCCUGCUAAAACAUUGACGCGUCCGGAGGAUGAAGAUGAUGGAGCAAGUGCACAGCUGUUCACAUUUACAAGUUCUCUGCUUGCCCUUUUAAAGGAUUAGAAGAUGUCUGGCUCUUCGAUAAACUCAUGUGUAGGACUAUUUUCUCCAGGCGGAAGGACACGUAGAUUUCCAUACGCUUGAGAAUUCACCGUGUCGGUUUGUUACGGAGUUGCUGAUUGGUGGACGCGGACCUGCAAUAUUAUACACAGUGUUGAGGGGGGCUUUAUUGGCCGCCCUGGACCUGCAAUGCACCAGGCAACAGUGUUUGAGAAGAUAUCCUAAC
rnacentral:lncRNA from 1 species